UUUCCGUAGGUGAACCUGCGGAAGGAUCAUUAAAAAAUAUCACUCGAUUGAGAGUGAUUUAAUAAUCAUCCUACCCUUUGUGAAUUUGUUGUUUGUAAUAAUUUUUUUUGAUUUUAAAAAAAAUUAUUUAUGGUUUUGUCUAUCCCUAAAAUUGGUUUGUUGUGAAAUGAAUCAAAUUUAGGGAAUAGGCUUUCAUAAAUAAGUUUUUUUAAAGUCUUAAAGACCUUUUUAAAAUUAAACUUUUGUAUUCAUUUGUCUAAAUUUUUUUUUAAAUAAUUUAAAAACAACUUUUGACAAUGGAUCUCUUGGUUCUCGCAACGAUGAAGAACGCAGCAAAAUGCGAUAAGUAAUGUGAAUUGCAGAAUACGUGAAUCAUCAAAUCUUCGAACGCAUAUUGCACUUUUUUAGUUUACUAAAAAAGUAUGUCUGUUUGAGUAUCAGUAAAAUAUUCUCAUAAAAACAUUUUUGUUUUUAUGGUUAUGAGUGUUUUACAACGAUAAACAAGUUGUUUCACUUUAAAUUCAUUUUAAUUUAAGACCAUUUUAUGGUUUUAAUAAAAAAUUGGAUAAAAUUUUCCCGUAAAAGGAAUAAACUUUUCAGUUUUUUAAUUAUUACCAACAAGCGGUCCGAUUUAAAAGGAAAUUUAUUUAAAUAACUUGAUCUCAAAUCAGAUAAGAGUACCCGCUGAACUUAAGCAUAUCAAUAAGCGGAGGAAAAGAAACUAACAAGGAUUCCCUUAGUAACGGCGAGUGAAGCGGGAAGAGCUCAAAUUUGAAAUCUUCAAGGUUCUACCUUGACGAAUUGUAGUUUAAAGAAGUGUUUUCUGUUAGAUGAGUAGCAAAAGUUCCUUGGAAUGGGACAUCAUAGAGGGUGAGAAUCCCGUAUUUGGUUAUUCAUUCUAGCUUUGUGAUACACUUUCAAAGAGUCGGAUUGUUUGGGAAUGCAGUCCAAAAUGGGUGGUAAAUUUCAUCUAAAGCUAAAUAUUGGCGAGAGACGAUAGCGAACAAGUACCGUGAGGGAAAGAUGAAAAGAACUUUGAAAAGAGAGUUAAACAGUACGUGAAAUUGUCAAAAGGGAAGCGUUUGACACCAGUGUUGUUUUUCCGAAAAUCAAUUACGAAUGGCUUGAUUUUGUGUUGUAUUGACCUUAUCAGCUUUCUGCACUUUUUUCGAGUCUUUCUUAAUGCACUUUUCGGUUAACAAGUCAACAUCAAUUUCUUUUGUUGUAAAAGAGUAUUCGGAAGGUGGCUUUCUUUUCGGAGAAAGUGUUUAUAGCCCUAUACUUCUACAAUCGGAGAGAUUGAGGUCUGCAGCGUAGAUCCUUCGGGGUUAGAUACAUUUGUGCUAAGUUGUAGCUUUUCAUAGACAACUUGUUGACUAUGUUUAGUCAUGCGGCUUACUCGCUUAUGCUAUUU
rnacentral:misc_RNA from 1 species